rnacentral:lncRNA from 1 species
AUGGCAGAGGAAAAACCAUCCCGCGAACCUCCCUCCUCACCAGCUGCAAAAAUGGAGGGGGAGGUGGGGGACACCCUACCACGUGGGCAGGAUGCAACACACACAGGACAGCAACACGUCCGCAUGGAACGGCUGCCUUUGCCCUCACGCCAGCAAAGGACACCGCGACAGGAUGGGCAGGAGCGCAGGCCCCCGCACGGGCCUCCGCACCCCGCGGGGCACCGCCAGGCGCGAGGGGCUGCCCCGCCUUCGCGGCCGAGAAGCGCCCCCAAGCUUCAAGGGAAGAAGCCGCACCGCUGCCCGGGGUUCGAGGGCUGGCCGAGGCCAGGGUGCAGCUUCCAGGCGAAAGGGGACGCUCGCUGUCCCCGGCCCCGGCGCCCACGGGGAUCCACGUCUGGUCCCCCUCCCCCGGGGCCCCAGCUGGGGGAGGGGCGGGAGGCGCGGAGCUGCCGCUUCCCGGCUGAGGGGCAGCAGCAGCUGAGGAGCAGCGCCGCGGGGGAGGGAGGGAUCAGCCCUCGCCGCCCGCCAGGCCCCGGCCCAGGCCCCGGCCCCCCGCGCCGCCCGCCGCCCACCUCACGGCGCGGCCGCGAGCGAAAGCAGGGAGAGGACGUCUCUCCGAGGGCAGCCCCUGCCUCCGUCCCGGGAGAUGCCCCAGCCCCGCCUCCUCGCCCCGUUGCCCCGGCACGGCCGCCUCGGCGGCGGGCACUCACCUCAGGCUGCGCAGGCCGGGACGGCCCGGCCGAGCCCCCGGCCGCUAAGUGCGUCUCCGCCCCCCCGGGAAAGGUCCCAACGGCGCCUGGUGCGAGCGGCCGAGGCCCCGAGCAGCGCCGAGAGUGGCGGCAGCAGCGGGAGCAGCCAACAUCCGGGGCCGCGCACCCGGAACUACUUCCCGACCCGCUCCCUCUCCCGCCCCCGCCGCCGCCGCCGCGGCCGCCGCCGCCGUCACGGUCGCCCCCGCCUCCCGCGACGUCGCUGCGCCACCGGCCGGGCGUCGGCGGCGUCACGACUGGUACGCGUCGCCGCCGCUUCGACUUGCGCGGGAUUCCUCCGCUGGGACAAGUAGUGCCUCGGGGCUCCACGCAGCCAGCGUCCACUAGCGGCCGGCAGUGCCGAUCGAUUUGGGGUCGCUUCGCCUCUCUCAGUGACGUUUUGGAGGGAGGGCCGCGGAGGCUGCCCGGGAAUCGAGGACCCUGCCUCCGGGUGCCAGGGGUCCCGGGCUCCCGGGGAAUGGCGCCGCGUGACCUCCCGCUGUCCCGCCGACCUCCACACCACCUUAGCCUCUCCGGGAAACCGGACCCCUUUCCGACUUUGCACACCGCGGAUUCUGCGGUCGCCAACAAAGGCGCCUUGGGGCUUCAGGACACCCUUUCAGAACUCCACGAGGCCGGGGUUCUAGACCCAUCAUUGCCGAGCCGGGUCUGCCUUUGCUUCUCGAAACAAAGGCGUUGGAGCUGGGGAAAGGACCUCUGGUUCUCAGGCUGGGCGCGCAGGUUCUGA